CAGAUCGUUGUUGGAAUCGCUAUUAGAUAUAUAUAACUCCCACUGUUUACGCGUCUCGUUAUCUAAUUUAAAUGAAACAAUAUGUAUGAUAAUAACAUCCCAUGUACUCACAUUUAUAUUUAGAUUUUUAAGUGCAUUUAAACAAUCACAUGUGGUGUCGAGCAAUUCUUUCAACGACAUUGCUGAUUCCUGCCCAACACUCACUGUAAUUAGCAUCAGUUAUUGGAGUGUGGCGAAUAAGCUGUUCAGCUUCACCAGACAGGUGACUUUUUAGAUAGUGGAGCUUUUGUACAUUAUCAAGAGACUCAUUUUUGUGAACUAAUGAUAUGAAAAGAUCAUGAAACGUAGUCCAUUCACCAUAUUUGCCAGAAAAUAUUGGUAUAGCGAUUUUUGGCAACUUAACAAAAGAAUUAGGUGACUUAGUUGAACUAGAAUUACUAUCACCUUGUACAGAACACUUGCUUACACUAAUUUUAUUAAGUGUUGUUUUCAUAAGGCUUUUAUACAUUAUAUAAGUGUCCUCCACCCCAUCAUAAAUAUCAACAACUUUUUGACCUAUAUCCUCUAUUUUAAACUUUUCAUAUAUUUUAGUAUUAGUAUCUUUAAAUAAAGACCAAUCUUUCUCUAGUAA